AUAUUUGGAACAAACUGCGCGUGCCUGCGCUCGCGCGGUCCGUUAGUGUCAAACCAGACACCUUUACACAGCUUUUAACCAGACUCGUACAGCAAUAUCCUAAAAUAGGUGGUCUUCUCUUCACUGCGCUGUCUCUUUGUCUGUCCAUCGGUCGUACUGCGCUUAGAGGGAGCGUCGCGUCUUAAAUAUCCGACCUCACUGUUUAUCCUAUUAUAGCAGGAUUCACGAGCAUGCGCAGGAAGCGGGGAUGCGCUGCGCGCGGAGAAGCUCGACUGUAGUGCACACGCACAAAUGGACGCUGGCACGCAGGACGAUUGCCAUGAGGACUAUAUAAUGAACAGCUUAAACCAAGAUCCAAACACAGAAGCUUAUAUGGACUUCAUGAAGAAACACUGUUGUUAUGAUGCAAUUCCCACCAGCUGCAAACUAGUUAUUUUUGACACCACACUGCAGGUAAAGAAGGCCUUCUUUGCUUUGGUUGCAAAUGGCCUGAGAGCGGCCCCUUUAUGGGACAACAAACUGCAGAGAUUUGUGGGUAUGCUGACAAUCACAGAUUUCAUCAAUAUUCUUCAUCGGUAUUACAGGUCACCCAUGGUUCAGAUCUAUGAAUUGGAGGAACACAAGAUUGAGACAUGGAGAGGUGAUUCAUUUCAAAACGUUUAUCUGCAAUAUCGAGAUCAAUGUCUCAUCAGUAUCACACCAGAUGCGAGCCUCUUUGAUGCUGUCUACUCUUUACUGAAACACAAAAUCCACAGGCUGCCGGUCAUCGACCCAGAGUCUGGAAAUGUCCUUCACAUACUGACCCAUAAGAGAAUCCUCAAGUUCCUUUAUAUAUUUGGAGCCUCGGUGCCCAAGCCAUGCUUCUUGAAGAUGCAAAUUAAAGAUGCAGGAAUAGGAACUUUCUCAGACGUGGCGACUGUCUCACAGACGGCUACGGUGUACGAUGCACUUUCUGUGUUUGUUGAGCGCCGUGUUUCCGCUCUCCCAGUGGUGGAUGACAGUGGCAAGGUGGUCGCUCUGUAUUCCAGAUUUGACGUGAUUAAUCUUGCAGCGCAGAAAACCUACAAUAACCUGAGCAUGAGCAUGCAGGAGGCCGUGCGGAGGAGACGCGGUUAUGUGGAAGGAGUCAUUAAAUGUUACCCUGACGAGACUUUGGAAACUGCUGUUGACAGAAUAGUCAAGGCUGAGGUUCAUAGGCUGGUGCUUGUGGACAGAGAAGAUGUGGUUCAGGGAAUAAUCUCUCUCUCAGACCUGCUGCAGGCCAUAGUUUUAUCUCCAGCAGGUAUUGAUGCUCUGUUUUCCUAACCUGAGAGGAUAUGUUUUCUCCUGUUACCUCAUCUAACCAGCACUAGUAUCCAGGGGUUUAAAGCAGGUAAAGUAUAACUGCAAGCAAGAAUGAAGAAAGGAUUUUUUUUUUUUUUUACAUUAUACAUUCAUAUUGUAAAAUAUGUUAAGUUUGGAUUACGUUGAGUGUAUAAUAUAUUAAGCAACAAGUUUCUCAUUUAACUGAGAGAUUGUAUGCGAUAAACAAGUACUGACAAAGGAAACUGUUGCAUUUAGUUUUCAUGUAUAAGUGAGCACAUGGGCUUGGAUUCUGAUCAAAUUGAUCACCUAGUUUGCCGUUUUGUGCGAUGUCAUGUAGUAUUGUCAGAUUAUCAUGUUUUGUUUUUCUAAUAAACAAUUCCUUGUGCUCUU